rnacentral:lncRNA from 1 species
GAUGGCCUGAUCCAUCAGGACUGGUCAUCAUCUAGUAUUGUUGUUGAAGUAUAUAAUGAUCUCCUGGUCCUGCUCAUUUCACUUAGCAUCAGUUCGUGCAAGUCUCUCCAGGCCUUUCUGAAAUCAUCCUGUUGGUCAUUUCUUACAGAACAGUAAUAUUCCAUAAUUUUCAUAUACCGACAUAUUCUUUUGAUUAUUGCCCCAACUGUGGCAAAUUUCCAUUCAUCCUUUGAGAAUAUUUUUUAAAAUUAAAAAUUAAAAUUAAAAAAUUAAAAUGAUUUUUUAAAAAAGAAACUGCAAAAAUUCACCUCAGAUGAAUGAGUUAGGUGAUCAAGCUGGAUAAGACAGGACUGAACAGAAAUAAAGCACAGAUAUAAAGUUUUAAGGGAACUAAUUUUAUGUGUAUUUGUAAGUCAUUCCAAAGGACUCCUAGAGUUGUUUGGGAUUGAUGAGAGCAUUGUUGAAAUCAGUGUCAAUACUAAAAUUCUCACUGUGCCUGAGGGGCCACAGAAUGAUUAAGUGAAUUGCCUCAGCUUUUAAAUGGCAGAGUGAAUGGAAACCAAAAUAAAAUUGCAUUUCUAUAGAAAUUCCCAUUGGUCCAUGGACUGGACAAUCAAAGGCUAGUGAUGAGAUUGAGAAGGGUAUGAUAUAGAUUGAAAUAGUUGAUCCAGACUCAUGCUCCCCCCUAAUAGAAUGAUUCUCAUCCAAGUAAUAUGGGAAAUUUAAUUAUAAAUUAGAUGAAUAAUUUUAAACAAAUACACCAGAAAUUCAAAUUCUUUUGAAUCCAGAUCUAUAUGAGUCUAAUCCUAGAACUCUUAACUUCCUUCAUAUUUCCUUUCCACUAGAAUAAGUGUAUGAGCUCCCAAAUAUGUUUUGAAGAGGAAAGUACUCAUUCUGGAUACUUAUGUGUUUGCUUUAAAAUGUGAUUGUGUAUUGUCUCUACUGAAUACAUAUUGAGAGCAGAAAGCAAGAAAAUAGCUUCUUUCUAUUCCUGAUGAUGAUAUUUUCCCCUCCCCAUCUUCCCCCAACAGUUCUUGGAAAACGCCUUUCACUUUAAAGAAUCUACAGGGAAUUAGUUCUCUAGAAAGCGUCUGAUGGCCUUCUGAAAGCCAUGUAUAAGGGAAGAUGGGUUAGGUAUCUAGGAAGGAAAGCAAGGAACAGAGAGAAGCAAUGAAAAGUUUAGAAAAAGCCAAGAACAAGAAGAAAGGAGAGUGCUUGUGUUUCAGGAUGGGGUUUUUUUGUGGCAUGUCAUGGAUAUUUCACAUUUAUCCCCAAAGGAGUCACUUAGAACACCUAACUCUAGACAAAGUACACAGAUGGUUAGAGAAGACUGGCUAUUUUUGUUCAGCUUUGUCUGGGAUGAACAACCCAGAGAUGUGCUCAUCCGAAAAAAAUUUCUGCUUGCUAUAAGGGCACAUAGCAGCAAACAGUAGCAGAAGCAGCAGCAGAAAAAAAAAGUGUGAAUUCUAAGGAGAUUUAGCAACAAGACGCACCUCAUUAAAAGAUGGAGCAGUUCACCUCAGAAAUGGGCUUUGAAGAACUUGAGAAAGGUUCCAAAACUUGGAUAAUUUUUCCUAUUUAUGGGUGUCCUAAGUCUCACUGGUUAGGACCACCUGAGAAAGGCAGUCCAUUACACUGUUAUCAGUCAUUUAUAAUGAGUGCAGAUUUUGACAAGAAAUACAGUGCAGUACACCUGUAUUAGAUAUGAUCCUUAAGGUACAGAGAGAGUACAGGUAUCAAGCUUGCUUCACAAUUGUGUCUAGAUGGGUCUGGUCAUAUUUUAUUCUCCACAUAACAGUAUACCCUCAUCUAGAACAUAGUCAAAAGGCAAAAACUCUAAAAUUACCUCAAAGAGAACUAUACAUAUUUUUAAAAGGUCAUACCAUAUGAGUAGACUAGUAAAAUUAUAAAACACCAGAUCUUGAAGCUGCCUUAGCAAUCAUCUAGUCCAUCUCCCUAAUUUUUAGAAAAGAGGAAACUGAAUCCCAGAAAUUUCAAGUAACUUGAAAGUGACUCAGGUUUCUAGCUGAAGAACCUGCCCCACAAUCCAUGUUUCUCUUCCCGACCUAGCCCAGUGUUUUUGCCACUUCUUUAUAUCUCCCCAGGUACCUCAGAAUCUACAAAACUAUUUUUCACAUCAUCACAUAAGACAUCUUGAUGAUAGCUUCAUGUUAACUGCCUUACAAGAUAGAUAAUGAAUCAGUUUCUGCAGGUUGUUUUUUGCAGAUGUCACCCCUAGCUUCAUAGAUUUUUUAAAAAUAUUUUCCAGUCAUAGACAUGUUUGUGCCAAUCUUCUCUGGGCUAUUGUGUCCUCAUAUAAAAUUAGAAGAUUGAACCAAAUAACCUCUAAGGUCUUUUCUGACCCCAAAUUCCUGCAAUCACUCUAUAUUCCCUGACCUUAUUAAUAACACAGUCUAGGUUGGAGCCCAAGUCUGUAAUUAUGGAAUAGAAGAAAGCUAAAUGAUCCAUAUAGCAAUGAAACCCAUUGUAAAGAGUACAAAGUACUACUUUGUGAAGAGAGAGCCCCAUAUUGAAAGUCAGAAAACUUGUGUUCAAGUCUUAGCUUUUCUGCUUAAUUAUCUAUGUGAUUUUGUGCUCUCUGAGUCUUGGUUUCGUCAUCUAUAAAUGAGAGAGUUGGACUAGAUGACAUCCUUCUAGUCUUAAAUAGUUAUGAUAUCAUUCUUUUCUAUAAACUUGGCAUCAUUAGCAUAAUGCUUGAAUCAAAUGAGCAUGUUGAACCACAGGAAAAUGAUGAUUGAGAUACUAAGAACUCAGUAUCUGGCCAGUGAUAUAGCCAGAAGAAAGCUUUAUGAACUUUUUUCUGGGUUCUUUUUUUGGGGGGUGGGGGAAUGGUAUCUCAAUCUAAUUAUAGACAUAAGGAAACAGAUCAGUGACCCACUAAUUUGGGGGAAUAUACACACAUACACACACACACACAAAUGUGAAUUUUGGCAGACUUAUUUUCUCCUUUUCAUCUUUAAGCUUUUUACCUCUAAAACAGGUGUAAAAAUCCAAAUUAAUGCAUGGUAUUGCAAGGAUGAUAGAAAAGGAAAAAUGAGAGUAAAGCAACUUGUAAAUAUAAAGUGUCAUCCUAAUGAUGCAUUGUUCCAUUGGUCCUGAGACAGGAAAACCCAUAUCAUCACUCUUCCCUUCUAGUUAUUGCAAAGCCCUACUAAAUCCCCGUGAUUUCAGUGAUCUUGGGAACUGUCAGAUGAGGAAAACUCCCUCUGUGAAUUCAGUUCACUUCUUAGCAAAUUAUGCAAGAGCUGUCCGAUGUACCCAGGGUCACACAGCCACUAUUAUUCAGUGGUGAUACUUGAACCUAAGUCUUCAUGAUUUUGAGACUGAGUUACUAUCUCUUUCACAAUACUGUCUCUUCUGAGCAUGUAUAAUACAAGAAUUUACAAAGGAUCUUGAAUCUGAAUCUGUAAUGGAAUCCCUUCUUUGCAGAUAUCCCCAUACUGUAGUCUCAGUGAAAACUGUACUAGUAUUCUGGGCAGAGAAAAAUCUAUUUUGUUUUUUAAGCUCCUCCAGAGAAGGAGAUUCCAUAACCUUCAGUCACCUCUCCAGGGUUUUUCCCCUUAUUUCUAAUGCCAACUCUGCAUAAGUCAAUUUGAAUAACUUUCCUCUCAUUUUCCCCAGAGAUGGUAGAACAGAGCUGACCAUAUGGGCCAGUUAGCAUAUAUGAGCUAGAACAAUUAGCUAUUAACAGAGCCACAUAGUGUCCAUUCUGUAUUCACCUCCCUUCUCCACCUCAGCCCCACCUUUGCUGCACAUGAGAGGAAAAAAACAAUAUUCUAGGUAAUUUUACUGAAUUUCUAUUUCAUCCUUAAGAAAAGUUCUUUUUCUAGGAAUCAUACAUUUUAUUUUGAGCUAUAAUGGGAACAUAGGUGAUUUUGUCUGAUGUAGAGAAUUACAUGUUGGAGAAGACGGGAUCCUGAUGAAGAGUCCAUAGCAGCUUUGGAGAUAUUAUGCUCCCCAAGGUAAAUUCAGGCUGUAGGUCCCUCCAGAAGACUGAACAAGACACUGUUGUCUUUAAGAAAUAUGGGCCUCUGACUCUGCUUUAUUCAUAGCAUUGGGGUCCAGUAUAAUGAGAUUACUUUAUUAUCACAUGGAGUGAUGUUUAAGGUUGUAAAACUCAGCUGAAAAUAGGGGAACUAUUUUCCUUCUGAUAGCAUAUUUGUUCAGUACUGAUAACUAAGAUAUGGGUUUCAAAAGAAAUUGAAUGCAGGGUUUCAAAAACCAUCCUACUAUCUGUUUGGCAAACAGUGGCCUUGGUGAAUUUAAACUAAUUUAUUUAGUUCCAAAGGACUAGGUACUACAUUUUGAGAUGUUUUGUAUUCCCUUCUCCCUUUCUCCCAUUUCUUCCCCUUUCUCUUUCCAACUAAGCUUUUCUUUUUCUUUUAGAGGUCAUCUAUAAACUUUCUAGCCUGUGUUUCUGUGUGUGUUUUCAUGUGAGCGUGUUGAUGUGUUUCCUGUAAAAAGAAGCGAUUUCAUUAGUUCAUUUUCAUCCUGUUCCUUGCCCCCAUCCACAGUGUGACUACUUUGCUAUCUGAGAUAUCUGUAAAAAAAAAAAAAAAAAAAAAAAAAAAAAAAAAAAAAAAUUUAAAAAGUGUGCAAAAUAAAAGUUGACUAGAAAUUGAAAAAAAGAGAAGAAAGAGUAAGAAAGUAGAUCUGUUCAAUAUAACGACGUUUUCAGCUUUCUGGAGCAGUAUAGGGUCUAUCCUGAAAUCAUGUCACUAGUUUCUUAUUUUCCUUUUUUCUGUCUUCAUCUCAUUUCAGAUUAAAGGGAGAGAGAAAUCAUUAGUUCUCGUGCCAUUAAAAUUGUGGGGUUAUAGACUUAGAAGAGAUCUUGAAAAUCAUGUACUUGAAACUCUUCAUUUUAUAAAAUGAAAAACUAAGACUCUGGGAGAAUAAGUCCCAUCUCACACAGUUAGAGGAAGCGUCUAGACUAAAACCCAGUUCUACAGGCUAGGACCCUUUCCAUUAUACCACAAUGCCCUUCUAUUUUUCUUCUGGCAACUUUUCUAGAUGUUAGUUAUCAGCUGUGAAACUGUUCUAAAGGGUUCUUGUUUAAAAUCUGCUUUCCAAAAGACAAAACCAGCACAAGCUGGCAGGGUAAGAUUUAGCUCAAUAGACUGGAAAUUAAGCUUUGCCGAUACCAUUCAUAGCUUUGGCAGGGGUCUUGGAUGAGUCACUUUACCUCACCAUGUCUCAAUUUCCUUCUCUGCUCCACUGACUUCCAGGUCACUUUGAAAUACAAAGUAUGUAGUAUAGUCUAAUUCCUGCUUUCCACUAUACUGUUCUUCCUUGGUGAGAUGCUUUUCCUCAUGGCACUGAGCUUAAUUCAGAGCAUUACUCUUGCCUCCAUCCCACUAGUCUCAACUCCCUGUUGAGGUCAAUAAUCUUAAACAGCAGCCAGUUCAUGCUCUAGGUCCAAAGCCUUUUAUCUACCUUUUUCAUUCUCAACUGCCUUUCCCCACCUACUUUUAUUGUCUUUCCAAAGGCACGUUGAUGUCCUAGAAUAGGAGAGAGUACAAUGAUUUAAAUAAAGUAAAGAGUUCAGUAAACAAUGGUAACCAAAUAGGACCCAUUCCCUAUUGCAUGCCCAUGAAAAGGGAUUUAGGAUGAUACAGCUUGAAUGGAGGUGAGCAGGCACAAAUCAAACAGAACAGGGAAUCAUUAAAAAAUAAUGUCAAUUUUGGGAGGAGAGGGAGCUGCUGAAAAAGGAAUAAAAAAUUAGUAAUAGUAAUUAAAAUUAAAAGGAGUAAAAAUAAGGAAUAAUAAAAAAGAGGAGUAAAAAAAUUUUUUUAAAAAGGGAUUCAUCCUUGCUUGAUUUAGUAUUUAGCACUAGGAGAAAAGAUGUUUAAAGGGGGACAGGUUAGGUGCCAAUUGGGGAUGGGAGAGACACAGAGAAUCUAAAUUGGCAUUGCCCAUCCCUAAGACCGGAGGUAGGAGUAUACAACUAGUUUGGCAAGCAACCCAAACUUCACUUGAAAACUCAUUCCUUCACAAUCUUUCACAUUAAAGUCAUUCAGUGUCAGUGAGUCCUCAGUUGACAGGCUACGAAUGAAUUCUCUUGAAAAUUCAUCUCAGCUUUCUUUUUCAACUAAGGAGUAUUCUCACCCUGGCUGAGAUUCAUCACAGCUGGCUAAGGAAAAAGGCAAACAUGUAUUUAGAUUUAGGAGUGAGGUCUGGGCCACCUCCACCUACGUCUUCAGCACUGGCUGAAAUUUGGGGCGCGUUCCUUGUCUCAGCUUUCCUCCCGCCGAAUGGCAUCCUGUACUCAUCCCCCUUGGCCACCUACUCAGCAGAGCUCCCAAGGCCAAAGGGGUCUCCUUGACCAGAGUAGCAUCCCUGGCUGCUCUUUUCCAAGUUUGUGUCCUAGACUGGACCAGAUCUUUCUGCAGAUCUAGGGGGGGCUGCAGACCUUCCUCACGCAAGUCCGGCUCACUUGCAUGUCAUGGUAUCCCCAUUUCACGAUUGCCUUCCAGAAGGAAGGGCAAACAACAAUUAACACUUUAUGUCCCUUGAGCAAAUUUUUAGUAUCUGGUCUGAUCAAGCUGCCACCAUCUCAACCAACCACUUCAAAAAUUGAGGUUUUUUUAUUCAGUCCUUGAUUCCCCCAAUCUGUUAGGCUCAGGACUUUUGCCUUAAAUUCAAAUGGUAAAAGAAGAUAAUCAGGGAUGAUGGGUGAUUAUUCCCAGUUUGUGUUUCCUGGACCCUGACAACAGCUUUGCAACUAUUAUCUCCAUAUUUACAGUGGGUCUCAGUCUCCUAUCACAUUAUCUCCCCAUUACACAUGGAGACCCUCCUUCUGACUGGAGACUCCAGUGUUCAGGAAAGAAAUGCUCCUGGAGGUCAGAAGACCUAGGAUGGGGAAUAAAAUAGAUAUAACUACCUGAGCGUUCCCAAAGCAUUUCAAAGGGGCAGUCUGAGAAGGUACAAUUUAAAAAGCAGCAUCCUACACCCUGUAUUUCAGAUAGGAAGAAAAUGAGUGGGUUUGGUGUUUUUUAUACAUUGUCAUGAGACUGAAGCUAUAACUGGCAAAACACUCAAACAACUGAAUAUUUAUAGCCCACCAGAAUAUUGCUCAGCCAAUACAAAAUUACUUACCUUUACUUUUAUUUGCAUAGUGCUUUCUGAUUGGGUAGAAGAGGAGUGGUGUGUCCUGCAGGAUUCUAACAUCUCUGCUAUCCUUGGAGAUAGCAAAUUCCUGUGGUUAUUGGUGCUAAAAUAAGAUUAAAUAUUAUGUUAAUUUGUUCUGAUAUGAUGUGAAUAAUUGUGUUGUUUAAUCUUACCAAGAAUGCAACAUCUUAUCAGAUCUAUUGUACUGUCUGUUCCUUCUCAUAAUUAAUUACAGGAAAGAUGAUCAGAACCAGAUUUUAAAUUAUUGUGAUAUUCUGAAAAGUAAAUUUAACAGGGAAAUGGGAGGGGGGAAUUAAAAGGGAAAUUGCCAGGUUCCUGCAACUUUGAAAGGACUGAGGAAGAAGAGAGCAUUUUGGGACUUCACCGAAAAACUGACUGCAUCUUGCAAUUUUCUUUUUCAAUUGGCAGAAAUAUUGUAUUUUCAUCGAUUGAAGAAAAAAGUGUCUGGUAAUUAAUUAAAUGACUUGUUCAUGGAAAAAUAAAAAUAAAUAAUCUGUCAGUUGUGGAAUGUAAA